ACCUGGCUGGCUCAGUUGGUGGAGCAUGUGACUCUUGAUCUUGGGGUUAUAGGUUCAAGCCCCAUGUUGGGUG
rnacentral:tRNA from 1 species